ACCAACUGUCGCUCCCGGGCUGAGUGGUGAUGUGUCCGGCCAGAGGAGAAGGGGAUUCAGAGGGAAAGACCUCCUAACUGCAUGUGCAUGUGUAGUCCAGACAGCACAGCAAGGAUCAGAAGACUAGGAGUCAGAUGUGCAGCGGAGCAGGUUCUCUCCUCAGCCGCUGCUGUGCAUGAGCAUCAUGUGAAGGAGUGCAGAAAAAAACGGCAUCCGGACACCAUCUCCAGAAAGGGCAGGGCCUGUUGUUGGCCUUUAUAAAAAAAUACAGUUUCACUCAGGAGCAGGAGAACUGUGGAUGUUGAAAGAAAGGAGAACUUGUAUCUUAGGACCUGGCUCAAGUCACCAACCGCAGCUGGAAGAGACCCAGGCAGUCACUCCGCACAUGCAGUGCAGGUCCCUAAAACCUCAGGGAGUUCUGUCAGAGGAUCACAUAAUCGAGAAAGAAGAAUCCAGGAUUUGAGCCUAAUGGAAAUGGCUUAGACU